GCAUCAUUGUAUUUCUUUGUGAUAGAAUAGAAAAUUCAGAUUCUUUCUAUAAUAGUUUUUAUCUUACUGUAUGGUAACUGUUGAGUCAUGGCUGGAACCACUGAUUGAUCACCUGGGGAAAGGACGAGUCAGCCCUGGGAGCACAGGUGAAGGCAAUUCAACUGUGUGACCAGAAGGGCUGGAGCCCGGCUGCUUCUCCCUAGGCCUCCAUUUAAGAGCUGACUGCCACGGGGGAAGGAUCUCUGGUUGGAGGUUCCUUCCUUGUGGAGUUUUCCCUGAGAGCCUAAAUCUGUGGAAAUAGGUGGCCUUCUUUGGGAAUUUCCAGUGAGCCCUGAUCCUCAGAAAAGGUGCUGUGUAUAGAGAUGCCUGUCUUGAAGCAGUCAAUUUCUUCCUGCUUCUCCAGAUGGAACCUUACUGAAUUUGAGACAUUCAUCUUUCCAGUAGCAGGUCAAUGUGAAGUAUUCAUACAUUAUUACAGGACAGCUGCAAAUCCAUCACAACAAGAGACAAUGUGUGUCAUACAAAGAGAAUAAUGGAAAAACUGCAUGAUGUUUCCAAGGUCACAGUGUAAGCUUGCUGCAGAGCAGGGAGUAGAAACUGGGUAUGUUCUGGCCACGUUUCUUAUCAAACAUACUUUCAGAAACUUAGACAAUAAGCAGUCAGACCAAAACCUCAACCAAGCCAAGAGAAUCUUAAACCAACUUUUUAUUUUCUCGUGUUCUCUAUUAGCAGAUGUGCAAUGUAAUAAACAAUUGGAUUUGUAGCUUCUAUUUUGCUUGGGAAUUAUUUUAAACCUAUAUUUAGUUAAUAAGAUUUCUUAACAACUAUUUGGAGUGAUACAGAACAGGAAGAAAAAAAUGGGCUGAAGAAAAAAAAAUCCACAAUAAUAAUAUUGAGUGAUGAAAUUUAAGAAAGAAGAGGAAAGUAAUAAGUGAACUAUGUAAUGUGAAUUUUAGAGUGAGUGCGUAUUUCUGAUUGUUAAAACUGAAUUAAUCUGUUCAUCAUAAAACUGAAAGCAACUGUAAGAUCAAAUCUUUAGGACGGAUGACAGGGUUUCAUUAUCAUUAAUGGAGUGCAAAAUCCUGCUGGGCAAGUGGCACAUGACUUUUGCUACUGACUUCACUGGGAUAAGGCAUGUUUGUUAUCUAGUGAAUUUAGUAAAGAUUUGAACUGAAUUGAACUAUGCCAAAUAGAAAAUGUUGUAUCUCAGAUUAUAAUUUGAGUCUGGUAUUGUCUAAAAUUUUGCUUUCUAGUCUGUCAGUACAACACAAGUUUUGGUGCUCUAAUGUUACUGUACAUGCUCUUCAUUUUCUCUACUUUGUAUGCUACUUAAUUCACCUCUCCUCUUUUUUCUGUUAAUGAUGUCUUUUUUGCCCAAGGAAUCUGACAAUCUGUUUAGGUGCAAAAGAGGAAUACAACUGUGACUUUAUUCUGGUAGUUCUACUCCAGUUGAAAUUAUUCAUGUAUCAUCUUAUUUUGUGGAAAACCACCAGCAGAGCUCUUCAAAAAUAAACCUAUCUGCAGGAAGCAGUGCUCAGUAUUUUUGCAUUGUUUUUCUCUUCCUAGACCUUUCUCCUAUAGUUCUUAAAAAAAAAAAAUAAAUACUAAUAAUACUCAUGUUACUUAAACAGUGGAAGAGGCUUGGUUUUACAAAUCAACUGUAUGAAAUACAAAAUUAGUAAUCUGAAUGGAAGCAUGGAGUGCCAUCGUAAUAAUCCUUUUGUGUAACACUGAGAAGCUUGAUUUCUCUCUGUUGCAUAUAGCGUAGUAAAAUGGCCAGAAAAUCUGUAGUACAGAUAAGGCAAAUUGUGAUAAAUGCAGGCUGUUUCGCUGGCACAGUGGUGUAUAGUUUAUUCAUUUUUCUUUGCACAAAAGGAAAAUAAAAAGUGCAGCUUGAAAGUAGGUAGCAGAAAAAUGUAGCAUUCUCAGGAGAAGUUUUCUGAAUUGCCAUUUCAGAGUUGUAUAUCAAAAGGUAGAGUUAUUUAAAUGGAAGAUGCAUUUAUAGAGAAGUCCGUCAGAGCUGGCCUUUGAGGAAUAGCUGCUUGUGAGUUUUCAGGAGAGCACAGGAAGGCAGAUUAUUGUCAUAGACCUUAAAUGUA